rnacentral:rRNA from 1 species
UACGAAGGGGGCUAGCGUUGUUCGGAUUUACUGGGCGUAAAGCGCACGUAGGCGGAUCGUUAAGUCAGGGGUGAAAUCCUGGAGCUCAACUCCAGAACUGCCUUUGAUACUGGCGAUCUUGAGUCCGGAAGAGGUGAGUGGAACUCCUAGUGUAGAGGUGGAAUUCGUAGAUAUUAGGAAGAACACCAGUGGCGAAGGCGGCUCACUGGACCGACAUUGACGCUGAGGCGCGAAAGCCAGGGGAGCAAACGGG